UUCACUAAGGUCCCAUUCUUCAUACGUAUGAAAUAGCGUCUUAACUCACUUUUACCGCUACCUAUUUGUAGUAAGCGCUCAUACUAUUGGGACCGGAAUGCAACGAGCGCGACUGCACCACCUAAUUGCCCCUUAUCUACCAUUAAUUACUUUAUUAACCGCCCUGUACGGGCACCGGGGCCUUACCUUUACUGAAACUAGCUGGACCGCUGCUUUCCUUUAAGCCAGAGGAAGGUUGCGGCAAUAACAGGUCUGUGAUGCCCUCAGAUGUUCCGGGCCGCACACGUGCUACAAUGAUCAGCACAGAGAGUAUUACCUAUCUUCUUAUACCUAACCCAAUAUGUUAAACUUAUUGCGUAAGGAUAUUGUCUUAUCCACUUAUUAUCCGCUUUAGCGCUUUAAGAUUAUUGGACGGUUAUGCCUGCCUCGAGAGAGUGUACAGGGCAGCAAGAGUAAUGAUUCCUUCGUUUUUACUACUAAUACCGCGCUUGGUAACAUAUUACACUCGAUUAAGUAGGGUCUUUGCUUCUAAUAGCAAUUGCUAUCCUCACCCUUAGGCUCUAAGGAUAUUACUAUCUGUAAGGUCUACAGGGAGGUGUAUAUGGCGUACUUACUUAUUCACGGUGGGGACAGACCAUUGUUAACUGUUGGUCUCGGUCUCAACUAGGAAUGCCUCGUACGGGUUGGUUCACCAAACCACCCGGAAUAUGUCCCUGCCCUUUGUACACACCGCCCGUCGCUCUUAUCGAUGAACUCACUUGUGAGGCUGAGGGACUGCGUCUAUUUAUACCCGUGUAAUCCUAAUAUCUUACAUACAUUUCGCUAAAAGCGAUUUUGCUCUAAGGAUUUACACGACCUUACGCACAAACUUAUUCGACCAAGUGGGUUUAAAGGAAAGAGAAG
rnacentral:rRNA from 1 species